GAAAAUUUUUUCGGUUGGGGAUGGGCUUCGCGGCCUUAUCAGCUUGUUGGUGGGGUAAAGGCCUACCAAGGCGACGACGGGUAGCCGGCCUGAGAGGGCGACCGGCCACACUGGGACUGAGACACGGNCCAGACUCCUACGGGAGGCAGCAGUGGGGAAUAUUGCACAAUGGGGGAAACCCUGAUGCAGCGACGCCGCGUGAGNGAUGACGGCCUUCGGGUUGUAAACCUCUUUCAGUAGGGAAGAAGCCUUUCGGGGUGACGGUACCUGCAGAAGAAGUACCGGCUAACUACGUGCCAGCAGCCGCGGUAAUACGUAGGGUACAAGCGUUGUCCGGAAUUAUUGGGCGUAAAGAGCUCGUAGGCGGUCCGUCGCGUCUGCUGUGGAAACGCAAGGCUCAACCUUGCGCGUGCAGUGNGUACGGGCGGACUAGAGUGCAGUAGGGGAGUCUGGAAUUCCUGGUGUAGCGGUGAAAUGCGCAGAUAUCAGGAGGAACACCGGUGGCGAAGGCGGGACUCUGGGCUGUUACUGACGCUGAGGAGCGAAAGCAUGGGGAGCGAACAGGAUUAGAUACCCUGGUAGUCCAUGCCGUAAACGUUGGGCACUAGGUGUGGGGCUCAUUCCACGAGUUCCGCGCCGCAGCUAACGCAUUAAGUGCCCCGCCUGGGGAGUACGGCCGCAAGGCUAAAACUCAAAGGAAUUGACGGGGGCCCGCACAAGCGGCGGAGCAUGCGGAUUAAUUCGAUGCAACGCGAAGAACCUUACCAAGGCUUGACAUACACCGGAAUGUGCCAGAGAUGGUUCAGCCCUUUGGGCUGGUGUACAGGUGGUGCAUGGUUGUCGUCAGCUCGUGUCGUGAGAUGUUGGGUUAAGUCCCGCAACGAGCGCAACCCUCGUUCUAUGUUGCCAGCACGUGAUGGUGGGAACUCAUAGGAGACUGCCGGGGUCAACUCGGAGGAAGGUGGGGAUGACGUCAAAUCAUCAUGCCCUUUAUGUCUUGGGCUUCACGCAUGCUACAAUGGUCGGUACAAAGGGUUGCGAGACCGUGAGGUGGAGCGAAUCCCAGAAAGCCGAUCUCAGUUCGGAUGGUAGUCUGCAACUCGACUACGGAAGUCGGAGUCGCUAG
rnacentral:rRNA from 1 species